rnacentral:rRNA from 1 species
AUGUUUUGGAAUAGAAGAGGUGUUUCAGCCUUGGCUAAACAUAAGCACUUCGAUGAUUGUGUGAGAGAUCAUGGGCUUAAUUUUGUGGCAAUUUCCAAUGCUAGUAAAUGUGACUUCCAUACGCAUGUCCUUGAUCACCUAUCAGGUGGUUUUGACUUCACAUGGCAUAGUAUACCAGCUUGUGGAAGGUCAAGAGGAAUCCUUCUUGGGGUACAAACCACAACCAUGGAUUUGUUAGCCUUUUUGACUGGUGAAUUUCACAUAAAAUUAGACCUACGAAACCAGGUUGAUAAUUUUAUAUGGAGCCUUGUCGCUCUCAAUGGGGCUGCCCAAGAUGAGCAUAAAUCUGCUUUCCUUUGGGAAUUGGUGAACCUAGCAAAGGAUAACCAGUAUCCAAUGAUUAUUGGAGGGGACUUUAAUAUCCUUAGAUACCAUGAAGAGAAAAACAAUGAUCGCGUCAACAAUCAGUGGACUUUUUUGUUCAACGAUAUGAUUGACAGUUUGAACCUUCGGGAAGCCAGUAUGUUGGGGCGGCAGUUCACUUGGGCCAAUAACCGAUAUGUGCCGACAUACGAGAAACUCGACAGGGUACUCAUGGAUACCAAAUGGGAGUUAAAAUAUCCUAUGGUAACUGCGCGGUCCCUAGAGCGUAUCGAGGCACUAUCGGAUCAUGCUCCCAUCAUUCUUGAUUCUAACUCCAUGAGCACAUCCACGCACCACCCUUUGAAGUUUGAAUUGGUAUGGUUAGACCGAAAUGGCUUUAGAGACAUAGUCAAGAAUGCAUGGGAGAGGCCUGCCAUUGGCCGUACGUUUGUUUAG